rnacentral:rRNA from 1 species
AUUGGUCAAUGGGCGAGAGCCUGAACCAGCCAAGUCGCGUGAGGGAAGAAUGGUCUAUGGCCUGUAAACCUCUUUUGUCAAGGAAGAAUAAGCGGCACGAGUGCCACCUUGCCAGUACUUGACGAAUAAGCAUCGGCUAACUCCGUGCCAGCAGCCGCGGUAAUA